UAUAAUGUGGCAUAGUGAUUUGAGUGUUAGACUGUGGCUCAGGAGAUCAGGGUUCAAUUCCCAGCUUGGCAA